rnacentral:sRNA from 1 species
GCCAGGUGUGGUGGCGCAUGCCUGUAAUCCCAGUUGCUCAGGAAGCUGAAGCAGGAGGAUUUUGUGUUCAAAGCUAGUCUCAGAAACAGGGAGGCACUAAGCAGCUCAGUGAGACCCUGUCUCUA